rnacentral:rRNA from 1 species
GACGAACGCUGGCGGCGUGCUUAACACAUGCAAGUCGAACGGAAAGGCCCUGCUUUUGUGGGGUGCUCGAGUGGCGAACGGGUGAGUAACACGUGAGUAACCUGCCCUUGACUUUGGGAUAACUUCAGGAAACUGGGGCUAAUACCGGAUAGGAGCUCCUGCUGCAUGGUGGGGGUUGGAAAGUUUCGGCGGUUGGGGAUGGACUCGCGGCUUAUCAGCUUGUUGGUGGGGUAGUGGCUUACCAAGGCUUUGACGGGUAGCCGGCCUGAGAGGGUGACCGGCCACAUGGGGACUGAGAUACGGCCCAGACUCCUACGGGAGGCAGCAGUGGGGAAUAUGGCACAAUGGGCGGAAGCCUGAUGCAGCAACGCCGCGUGCGGGAUGACGGCUUCGGGUUGUAAACCGCUUUCGCCUGUGACGAAGCGUGAGUGGCGGUAAUGGGUAAAGAAGCACCGGCUAACUACGUG